rnacentral:rRNA from 1 species
UGGGGAAUAUUGGACAAUGGGCGCAAGCCUGAUCCAGCCAUGCCGCGUGAGUGAUGAAGGCCCUAGGGUUGUAAAGCUCUUUCACCGGUGAAGAUAAUGACGGUAACCGGAGAAGAAGCCCCGACUAACUUCGUGCCAGCAGCCGCGGUAAUACGAAGGGGGCUAGCGUUGUUCGGAUUUACUGGGCGUAAAGCGCACGUAGGCGGACUUUUAAGUCAGGGGUGAAAUCCCGGGGCUCAACCCCGGAACUGCCUUUGAUACUGGAAGUCUUGAGUAUGGUAGAGGUGAGUGGAAUUCCGAGUGUAGAGGUGAAAUUCGUAGAUAUUCGGAGGAACACCAGUGGCGAAGGCGGCUCACUGGACCAUUACUGACGCUGAGGUGCGAAAGCGUGGGGAGCAAACAGG